AUUGAACGCUGGCGGCAUGCCUUACACAUGCAAGUCGAACGGCAGCACGGGAGCAAUCCUGGUAGCGAGUGGCGAGCGGGUGAGUAAUAUAUCGGAACGUGCCCAGUCGUGGGGGAUAACGUAGCGAAAGCUACGCUAAUACCGCAUACGAUCUAUGGAUGAAAGCGGGGGAUCGCAAGACCUCGCGCGAUUGGAGCGGCCGAUAUCAGAUUAGGUAGUUGGUGAGGUAAAGGCUCACCAAGCCGACGAUCUGUAGCUGGUCUGAGAGGACGACCAGCCACACUGGGACUGAGACACGGCCCAGACUCCUACGGGAGGCAGCAGUGGGGAAUUUUGGACAAUGGGCGCAAGCCUGAUCCAGCAAUGCCGCGUGCAGGAUGAAGGCCUUCGGGUUGUAAACUGCUUUUGUACGGAGCGAAAAGGCUCCCUCUAAUACAGGGGGCUCAUGACGGUACCGUAAGAAUAAGCACCGGCUAACUACGUGCCAGCCGCCGCCGUAA
rnacentral:rRNA from 1 species